GACGUAGGAUGCAAGCGUUGUCCGGAAUUACUGGGCGUACAGCGCGCGUAGGCGGCCUCCUACGUCGGCUGUGAAAGUUCCUGGCUUACCCGGGAAAGCGCAGCCGAAACGGGGGGGCUGAGAGGACAGCAGAGGCAUGCGGAACGCCCGGAGUAGCGGUGAAAUGCGUUGAGAUCGGGCAGAACACCAGUGGCGAAGGCGGCAUGCUGGGCUGGUCCUGACGCUGAGGCGCGAAAGCCAGGGGA
rnacentral:rRNA from 1 species